UACGGAGGAUCCAAGCGUUAUCCGGAAUCAUUGGGUUUAAAGGGUCCGUAGGCGGUUUAAUAAGUCAGUGGUGAAAGCCCAUCGCUCAACGGUGGAACGGCCAUUGAUACUGUUAAACUUGAAUUAUUAGGAAGUAACUAGAAUAUGUAGUGUAGCGGUGAAAUGCUUAGAGAUUACACGGAAUACCAAUUGCGAAGGCAGGUUACUACUAAUGGAUUGACGCUGAUGGACGAAAGCGUGGGUAGCGAACAGG
rnacentral:rRNA from 1 species